rnacentral:tRNA from 1 species
GCCGACGUAGCUUAGCUCGGGAGUAGCUCAACCUGCGGGUUGAGUGCCGCUUACCGAAAGCGCGGGACUGAAGGCGUUACCGCGGCCCGCGGAACGUGUGAAAUCCCGUUGUCGCGUGUUCAAAUCACGCCGUCGGCACCA